CUAGCUCUAGGUCGGGGACAACCACUGGAAACGGUGGCUAAUACCGGAUAAGCCGUGAGGUAAAAGAUUUAUUGCCUAGAGAUGAGCUCGCGUCUGAUUAGCUAGUUGGUGUGGUAAGAGCGCACCAAGGCGACGAUCAGUAGCUGGUCUGAGAGGAUGAUCAGCCACACUGGGACUGAGACACGGCCCAGACUCCUACGGGAGGCAGCAGUGGGGAAUUUUCCGCAAUGGGCGAAAGCCUGACGGAGCAAUACCSCGUGAGGGAGGAAGGCUCUUGGGUUGUAAACCUCUUUUCUCAAGGAAUAAUUCAAUGAAGGUACUUGAGGAAUAAGCAUCGGCUAACUCCGUGCCAGCAGCCGCGGUAAUACGGAGGAUGCAAGCGUUAUCCGGAAUGAUUGGGCGUAAAGGGUCCGCAGGUGGCAUUGAAAGUCUGCUGUUAAAGAGUGAGGCUUAACCUCAUAAAAGCAGUGGAAACUACAAAGCUAGAGUGCGUUCGGGGUAGCAGGAAUUCCUGGUGUAGCGGUGAAAUGCGUAGAGAUCAGGAAGAACACCGGUGGCGAAAGCGUGCUACUAGGCCGUAACUGACACUGAGGGACGAAAGCUAGGGGAGCGAAUGGGAUUAGAUACCCCAGUAGUCCUAGCCGUAAACGAUGGAUACUAGGCGUGGCUUGUAUCGACCCGAGCCGUGCCGGAGCUAACGCGUUAAGUAUCCCGCCUGGGGAGUACGCACGCAAG
rnacentral:rRNA from 1 species